rnacentral:rRNA from 1 species
ACGUUACCAAACUGUUGCCUCGGCGGGAUCUCUGCCCCGGGUGCGUCGCAGCCCCGGACCAAGGCGCCCGCCGGAGGACCAACCAAAACUCUUAUUGUAUACCCCCUCGCGGGUUUUUUUUAUAAUCUGAGCCUUCUCGGCGCCUCUCGUAGGCGUUUCGAAAAUGAAUCAAAACUUUCAACAACGGAUCUCUUGGUUCUGGCAUCGAUGAAGAACGCAGCGAAAUGCGAUAAGUAAUGUGAAUUGCAGAAUUCAGUGAAUCAUCGAAUCUUUGAACGCACAUUGCGCCCGCCAGUAUUCUGGCGGGCAUGCCUGUCCGAGCGUCAUUUCAACCCUCGAACCCCUCCGGGGGGUCGGCGUUGGGGAUCGGCCCUGCCUUGGCGGUGGCCGUCUCCGAAAUACAGUGGCGGUCUCGCCGCAGCCUCUCCUGCGCAGUAGUUUGCACACUCGCAUCGGGAGCGCGGCGCGUCCACAGCCGUUAAACACCCAACUUCUGAAAUGUUGACCUCGGAUCAGGUAGGAAUACCCGCUGAACUUAAGCAUAUCAAUAANGCG